AAACCGCUCAGAGGUAAACGGGUGGUUCCGCAAAAGUCGGCCCGCGGAACUCAGCGCGGCGUUCGGCCUGGGGCUGCUGCUUGGAGGGAUCCUCUCGGAGCCUUCUGCGGCGUCGCACCGGGUCUCGCCGCGUGCAUUUUCUGCGGGCAGAGCGCUACGAUCGGUUUCGCAUUGGUGACGAUUAGCCUGGGUGCUAUAGCGUGGUACGGUCUAUUCGGCCGUGCCUCGGGCACCCAUGUGCGAGUUGCUUCGGGACCGAGGAUUGGCCCGUCGCUUCGAGGCACCUCGGCCUCGCGGGGGAGUACGACUGAUAGGGACUGGGUUGACCGUGCCUGUCGACAGCUCCUCUGCGGUGGUUCGGGAAUGCCGGGCGAUGUCCGGGGUCAGUGGCGAGUCUGUCGGCCUACCACCCGACCCGUCUUGAAACACGGACCAAGGAGUCUAACAUGCGCGCGAGUCAUUGGGCGUUACGAAACCCAAAGGCGCAGUGAAAGCAAGGGUCAACUUGUUGGCCUAGGUGGGAUCCUUGUCCAACGAAAGUGGAUGAGGCGCACCACCGGCCCGUCCUGGCUGCGCUGUCAGCGGGGCGGUGCAAGAGCGUGCACGCUGGGACCCGAAAGAUGGUGAACUAUGCCUGAGUAGAACGAAGCCAGAGGAAACUCUGGUGGAAGUCCGUAGCGAUUCUGACGUGCAAAUCGAUCGUCAAACUCGGGUAUAGGGGCGAAAGACUAAUCGAACCAUUUAGUAGCUGGUUCCCUC
rnacentral:rRNA from 2 species